CCUACGGGAGGCAGCAGUAGGGAAUCUUCCACAAUGGGCGAAAGCCUGAUGGAGCAACGCCGCGUGAGUGAAGAAGGAUUUCGGUUCGUAAAACUCUGUUGUAAGGGAGAAGAACAAGUACCAGUAGUAACUGGCUGUACCUUGACGGUACCUUAUUAGAAAGCCACGGCUAACUACGUGCCAGCAGCCGCGGUAAUACGUAGGUGGCAAGCGUUGUCCGGAAUUAUUGGGCGUAAAGCGCGCGCAGGUGGUUUCUUAAGUCUGAUGUGAAAGCCCACGGCUCAACCCGUGGAGGGUCAUUGGAAACUGGGAGACUUGAGUGCAGAAGAGGAUAGUGGAAUUCCAAGUGUAGCGGUGAAAUGCGUAGAGAUUUGGAGGAACACCAGUGGCGAAGGCGACUAUCUGGUCUGUAACUGACACUGAGGCGCGAAAGCGUGGGGAGCAAACAGGAUUAGAUACCCUGGUAGUCCACGCCGUAAACGAUGAGUGCUAAGUGUUAGGGGGUUUCCGCCCCUUAGUGCUGCAGCUAACGCAUUAAGCACUCCGCCUGGGGAGUACGGUCGCAAGACUGAAACUCAAAGGAAUUGACGGGGGCCCGCACAAGCGGGUGGGAGCAUGUUGGUUUAAUUCGAAGCAACGCGAAGAACCUUAC
rnacentral:rRNA from 1 species